rnacentral:rRNA from 1 species
UACAGAGGUCUCGAGCGUUGUUCGGAUUCAUUGGGCGUAAAGGGUGCGUAGGUGGCGCUGUAAGUCGGGUGUGAAAUCCUGAGGCUUAACCUCGGAACUGCAUUCGAUACUGCGGUGCUUGAGGGCUGGAGAGGAGACUGGAAUUCAUGGUGUAGCAGUGAAAUGCGUAGAUAUCGAGAGGAACACCAGUGGCGAAGGCGAGUCCCUGGACAACACCUGACACUGAGGCACGAAAGCUAGGGGAGCAAACAGG